rfam:Pan troglodytes isolate Yerkes chimp pedigree #C0471 (Clint) chromosome 4, whole genome shotgun sequence.
GCUGGGUGUGGUAGUGCAUGCCUGUAGUCCCAGCUACUUAGGAGGCUGAGGCAGGAGGAUCACUUGAGCAUGGGAUGUUGAGAGAGCAGUGAGCUAUGGCCACACCACUGCACUCCAGCCUGGGCAACAGAGCGAGACCCUGCCUCUA